AACGAACGCUGGCGGCGUGGAUAAGACAUGCAAGUCGAACGGGACAGACCGAGUAGCAAUAUUUGGAAUGUUCAGUGGCGAACGGGUGCGUAACACGUGGAUAACAUUCCGGAAAGCGGGGAAUAGCCCAGGGAAACUUGGAUUAAUACCGCAUGUGGCCGCAAGGCUAAAGACGGGGACCGCAAGGCCUGUCACUUUCCGAUUGGUCCGCGGCCUAUCAGCUAGUUGGCGGGGUAAUGGCCCACCAAGGCUACGACGGGUAGCUGGUCUUAGAACACGACCUACCCAACUGGAACUGAGACACGGACCAGACACCUACGGGUGGCAGCAGUCGAGAAUCUUUCACAAUGGGGGCAACCCUGAGGGAGCGACGCCGCGUGGAGGAUAAGGUCUUCGGAUUGUAAACUCCUGUCAUGCGAGAACAAGGUACUCAGGCUAAUAACCUGAUUGUUUGAUGGUACCGCAAGAGGAAGAGACGGCUAACUCUGUGCCAGCCGCCGCCGUAACAC
rnacentral:rRNA from 1 species